UGCCAGCAGCCGCGGUAAUACGAAGGGACCUAGCGUAGUUCGGAAUUACUGGGCUUAAAGAGUUCGUAGGUGGUUGAAAAAGUUGGUGGUGAAAUCCCAGAGCUUAACUCUGGAACUGCCAUCAAAACUACAUUUCUUGAGUUUGGUAGAGGAGAGUGGAAUUCCUAGUGUAGAGGUGAAAUUCGUAGAUACUUGGAGGAACACCAGUGGCGAAGGCGGCUCACUGGCUCGAUACUGACGCUGAGGUACGAAAGUGUGGGGAGCAAACAGGAUUAGAUA
rnacentral:rRNA from 1 species